GGGGUGUUGGCUCAGUGGUAGAGGGCAUGCCUGGUACGUGUGAGUCACUGAGUUCGAUUCUCAGCCCCA
rnacentral:tRNA from 1 species